AUUGAACGCUAGCGGGAUGCUUUACACAUGCAAGUCGAACGAGUGGCGCACGGGUGAGUAAUAUAUCGGAACGUGCCCAGUAGCGGGGGAUCACUACUCGAAAGAGUGGCUCAUACUGCCUACUAUUGGAGCGGCCAAUAUUGGCUUGGCUAGUUGGUGGGGGAAAGGCACACCAAGGCAACGAUCCGGAGCUGGUUUGAGAGGACGACCGGCCACACUGGGACUGAGACAAGGCCCAGACUCCUACGGUAGGCAGCAGUGGGGAAUUUUGGACAAUGGGGGAAACCCUGAUCCAGCCAUCCCGCGUGUAUGAGAAGGCCUUCGGGUUGUAAAGUACUUUUGGCAGAGAAGCGGUAUCUGCAGAAUAAGCACCGGCUAACUACGUGCCAGCAGCCGCGGUAAUUC
rnacentral:rRNA from 1 species